rnacentral:rRNA from 1 species
GGACGAACGGCUGGCGGCGUGCCUAAUACAUGCAAGUCGAGCGAAUGAUUAGAGAAGCUUGCUUCUCUCUGAUUAGCGGCGGACGGGUGAGUAACACGUGGGUAACCUACCCUGUAGACUGGGAUAACUUCGGGAAACCGGAGCUAAUACCGGAUAAUACUUCGAAACACAUGUUUUGAAGUUGAAAGAUGGUUUCGGCUAUCACUAUAGGAUGGACCCGCGGCGCAUUAGCUAGUUGGUGGGGUAAUGGCUCACCAAGGCAACGAUGCGUAGCCGACCUGAGAGGGUGAUCGGCCACACUGGGACUGAGACACGGCCCAGACUCCUACGGGAGGCAGCAGUAGGGAAUCUUCCACAAUGGACGAAAGUCUGAUGGAGCAACGCCGCGUGAAGUGAAGAAGGAUUUCGGUUCGUAAAACUCUGUUGCAAGGGAAGAACAAGUAGCGUAGUAACUGGCGCUACCUUGACGGUACCUUGUUAGAAAGCCACGGCUAACUACGUGCCAGCAGCUGC